CUACGUGCCAGCAGCCGCGGUAAUACGUAGGGUGCGAGCGUUAAUCGGAAUUACUGGGCGUAAAGCGAGCGCAGACGGUUACUUAAGCAGGAUGUGAAAUCCCCGGGCUCAACCUGGGAACUGCGUUCUGAACUGGGUGACUAGAGUGUGUCAGAGGGAGGUAGAAUUCCACGUGUAGCAGUGAAAUGCGUAGAGAUGUGGAGGAAUACCGAUGGCGAAGGCAGCCUCCUGGGAUAACACUGACGUUCAUGCUCGAAAGCGUGGGUAGCAAACAGGAUUAGAUACCCUGGUAGUCCACGCCCUAAACGAUGUCAAUUAGCUGUUGGGCAACUUGAUUGCUUAGUAGCGUAGCUAACGCGUGAAAUUGACCGCCUGGGGAGUACGGUCGCAAGAUUAAAACUCAAAGGAAUUGACGGGGACCCGCGCAAGCGGUGGAUGAUGUGGAUUAAUUCGAUGCAACGCGAAGAACCUUACCUGGUCUUGACAU
rnacentral:rRNA from 1 species